GGUUUACACUUGAUCUCUGAAGUACAUGUAAUUUGUGAAAUACAGGUAAGUUCACUUGCUGACAGAAUUGUGAUGGA